GACGAACGCUGGCGGCGUGCUUAACACAUGCAAGUCGAACGGAAAGGCCCUGCUUUUGUGGGGUGCUCGAGUGGCGAACGGGUGAGUAACACGUGAGUAACCUGCCCUUGACUUUGUGAUAACUUCAGGAAACUGGGGCUAAUACCGGAUAGGAGCUCCUGCUGCAUGGUGGGGGUUGGAAAGUUUCGGCGGUUGGGGAUGGACUCGCGGCUUAUCAGCUUGUUGGUGGGGUAGUGGCUUACCAAGGCUUUGACGGGUAGCCGGCCUGAGAGGGUGACCGGCCACAUUGGGACUGAGAUACGGCCCAGACGCCUAAGGGAGGCAGCAGUGGGGAAUAUUGCACAAUGGGCGGAAGCCUGAUGCAGCAACGCCGCGUGCGGGAUGACGGCCUUCGGGUUGUAAACCGCUUUCGCCUGUGACGAAGCGUGAGUGACGGUAAUGGGUAAAGAAGCACCGGCUAACUACGUG
rnacentral:rRNA from 1 species